UACGGAGGGUGCAAACGUUGCUCGGAAUUAUUGGGCGUAAAGAGCUCGUAGGCGGUCUGUCGCGUCGAUCGUGAAAACUUGGGGCUUAACCCUGAGCUUGCGGUCGAUACGGGCAUGACUGGAGUUCGGCAGGGGAGACUGGAAUUCCUGGUGUAGCGGUGAAAUGCGCAGAUAUCAGGAGGAACACCGGUGGCGAAGGCGGGUCUCUGGGCCGAUACUGACGCUGAGGAGCGAAAGCGUGGGGAGCGAACAGG
rnacentral:rRNA from 1 species